rnacentral:rRNA from 1 species
AGCAGCCGCGGUAAUUCCAGCUCCAAUAGCGUAUAUUAAAGUUGUUGCAGUUAAAAAGCUCGUAGUUGAAUUUCGGGAUUGGCGCAUCGGUCGUGCCUCACGGGGUAUGAACUGGUGCAGUCAAUUUCUCACCUUCUGGAGAACCGCGAUGUCCUUAAUUGGGUGCCGCGGGGAACCAGGACCUUUACUUUGAAAAAUUAGAGUGUUUAAAGCAGGCAUUUUUGCUUGAAUACAUUAGCAUGGAAUAAUAAAAUAGGACGGCAUGGUUCUAUUUUGUUGGUUUCUAGGACCACCGUAAUGAUUAAUAGGGAUAGUUGGGGGCAUUAGUAUUCAAUUGUCAGAGGUGAAAUUCUUGGAUUUAUUGAAGACUAACUACUGCGAAAGCAUUUGCCAAGGAUGUUUUCAUUAAUCAAGAACGAAAGUUAGGGGAUCGAAGACGAUCAGAUACCGUCGUAGUCUUAACCAUAGACUAUGCCGACUAGGAAUCAGACGAUGUUAAUUUUUAAUGACUCGUUUGGCA